rnacentral:rRNA from 1 species
UACGUAGGGUGCAAGCGUUUGUCCGGAAUUAUUGGGCGUAAAGAGCUCGUAGGCGGUCUGUCGCGUCGGCUGUGAAAUCCCGGAGCUCAACUCCGGGUCUGCAGUCGAUACGGGCAAACUGGAGUACUGCAGGGGAGACUGGAAUUCCUGGUGUAGCGGUGGAAUGCGCAGAUAUCAGGAGGAACACCGAUGGCGAAGGCAGAUCUCUGGGCCGUAACUGACGCUGAGGAGCGAAAGCAUGGGGGAGCGAACAGG